GAAAAAAAAAAAAAAACAAACUCAGCUAACCCGGACAGUGUUACGCAGGGUUGUGAGAACAGCCCAGUGAUUUUUGAGAACUGGUCAACUUGUGAGCCUGAGAUUUGGGUUCCUCCAUCUCACAGUGGAACUCUACUGCAGUAUAUGGAUACUACAGUAACAAAGGAGGACUGUGUACAGUGGACUGUGAGUUUGCUGAAUUUCUUGAUUUAAACGGCUAUCAAGUUUCUCAACAGAAAGCACAACUGAUCAAAGAGAAGGAAGCAGUUUGCUGAACACCCAGAACACCAACGCAGAGCUACCUCCAAGCCAGCAGUGUGCACUGCAUGGAGACUGUUUAUGCCAGUUGGUCAGACCUACAGGAGGAACCGUUGGACAACGCUGAGGAUUCCUGGAUUCACUGACAGAAGCAGCUUUGUGAGACAAGGAAACUGUAAGGCAGGACGUGCAGUAACUGCUACUGACAAGGUAAAUGAAGCUAAACCAUUACCUGUGGGGACUUCUGCUCAGAAGGCUGAAAUAACUGCCUUGACAAGAACCUUAAAUAUAUGGACAGAUGCUAAAUAUGCUUUUGGGGUGGUACCCACUCAUGGUACCAUCUAGAAAGAGCGAGGUUUUCUUACACACAUGGAAAACAAAUUCACAUGAUGUAAAUCUACCAAAGAGCAGCAUGGCUGUUAUACAUUGUAAAGGACAUCAGAAGAGUGACACUGUACAGGAAACUGGGAAUAUGAUGGUGGAUCAGGUGGCAAAACAGGCAGCUGAAGGAAAAGAAAUUGGUGAACUGGCUUUAAUUCCAGACGGUAAACUUAAAAUAUCUGAACCUUAAUCAGAACCUAUAAGAUAUUGUAGGGAGGAUAGGAAUUUGGUGAUUUAAAAGGGAAGAGAGCAAGCUGACAGGUGAGUACAUACCCAGAUGGACACAUUGUUGUGCCCUUUAUUACUUUACAGAAAUUGGUUCUAAGAGAACAUAAUAAAACAUAUGGGGGUACAGACAUCAGAAAGUAACUGUACAGUCCUAGUACCAGGAACAGGGUACAAGUGGGGCUUGUUGGGGAAAGGGAAUCUUUUAGGACAACAAUUGCAAAUUGAUUUUUUUCAGAACUGCCAGGAAAAAGGAGGGUUUUUGUAUAUGCUAGUUCUAACAAAUACCCUUUUCAGGGUGGCCAGAAGCAUUCCCUUGCAGGACCAAUCAAGCCAAAGAAAUAACCACGGUAUUGCUGCAGGAGAUUAUACCAAGGUUUGGGGGUCCUGCAGCAAUACCCUUCAACAAGGGAACUCACUUUAUUGCAGAGAUUGUCCAACAGAUCAGUAAGCAUUGGGAAUAAAUUGGCAAUUGCACAUAUCACACAGACCACAGGCGAGUGGUCAAGUGAAAAAGAUGAACUAUCUAAUUAAAUCACAGGUUGUAAAACUGGGCCAGGAAGCUGGACUAUCCUAGCCAAAGUUGUUGCCUUUGGCUCUCCUUAGGAGCAGAAUGAAACCUAGAGCCAAAGUGGGGUUAAGUCUUUCAAAAUAUUGUACAAAAGGCCUUAUGUUGUAGAAACAGGACCUCUACCCAGGUAGGGAUGAAAUACUGAGCAUGUGAUAAGUUUACAAGAACAGCUUCAGGAAAUAGAGAAACUGGUUCUAGGAACUAGAGCCCAAGACCUUGACGGCUUGAUACAUAAUAUUUUAACAUGAGAUUAUAUGUAUAUAGCAGAUGUCUUUCACAUUCACCCCUGGAAUCAAGGUGGAUAAGUCUGUUCCAGGUGCUGCUAACAUCCCGCACAGCAGUAAAAAUUAAAGAAUAAGCAUUGUGUAUACAUCAUACUAGAGUUAAGAAGGUCCGUCAAAUACAAUGGGAACUGAAGUCAGCUGGACCCUUAAAAUUGUGAAUCCAAAGACAGUAAUAUGGGCUCUUAUAAUUGUUAGAAAUGUUAAUUUGAUUAAGUGCAGCAUUUGAUAUAAAUGCUUUUAUAUCUCUUGUGAAAAACAUCAUUGCAAAGUAUACUUAUAUCAGUAAUUGUUUGGUAUGUGGGCAAGCUAAGGAUUAAACUUUUCACUUUUUGUUGUCCCUGAUGAUUUUAAGGCGAGAAAUCAAAUUGUUGCAGGGUUUGAGUCACUGUCCUGAUGGGUGAUGAUCAACAAGAAUGUAGAUUGGAUUAACUACAUUUGUUAUAACCAGUGGAGAUUUACAAAUUAUACAAAAGAGUGCAAUAAAGGGAAUUGCAGAACAGUUAAAUGCCAUAAGUAGGAUGGCCUGGGAAAAUAAGAUCUCCUAAGAUAUGAUACAAGCUGGAAAAAAAAAGGGGGGGGGGGUGUAUGUGUAAUGCUGGGUACCUGUUGUUGCACCUUCAACCCAAUAACACAGCUCCAGGUGACACAAUAACUAAGGCAUUGCAAGGGCUUACCACCCUUACCAAUGAACUGGCAGAAAAAUCAGGAAUAGAUACUUCUAUCACUGGAUGGUUGGAGUCCCGGUUUGGUGAAUGGAAAGGGGUGAUUGUACCCACGUUUACUUCCUUCAUAGUAGUAGCAGGAGGCCUGAUAGCCAUUGGUUGCUGGGUUAUUCCGUGUGUGAGGGGACUGGUACAGUGAUUGAUCAAGACAGCACUACUGAAGCAAACACCAAUGGAGUCACAACAUUUGGAUAAAAUGAUGGUAUUAGAGGAGAUGGGAGAUAAAGAAAGUGGAGAAGAGGGAGAUGUCUAUAAAAGGGAAACUUAAAAAAAAAAUUGCAGAAAUCAACAGUGUAUAAAAAAAGAAAAGGGGGGGAAUUGUGGGAAUCAAAUGUUGUUUCUGCAUUAGAAUUGGAUAAUAUUUUUUUAUUUCAUGAACUCCGUUGUCAUAGUUCUCUAGAACUAUGUCCUCUAGACAAACCUUCCCAGGAAUGCACGCUCUGUAUAUAGGUGUAUAUAUGUAUAUUUUGUCACACACAUUGCAAGAAGAUCCUGCAGGAGAUCAAACCAGAGAACAAGUCAUGGUAUGCCAAGGAAGCGCCAGAUAACAAACAAACAAUUCAUUAAUAAAUGUAAAACCUCCUGAUAAGAUUGUGAAUCUGGAGUACCCAGCCAGUGGGGAAACAGGGGAGAGGGGGGAGGCAAAGGGGAGAAGACAGGGUAUAAAGAUGGUCAUCUUGUGUCCAUAGGUGCGCUCCUGCUUGCGGGACACCCGCCAUUGCAAUCGCGAAUAAAAUCUGCUUUAUCAGAGAUACCGUCCUGACAAAAAUUAUUUGGAUGUUUCCAACAUGAUAGAGAUAGCAAACAUAAUUUUUAAUGUGUUAUCUAUCUGAUAGCCUUUCUAGAAUUGUUGCUGUUUGCUGGAUCAAGUUCUCAAAGCAUAUGAAGAGACAAACUACUGUGUAUUUCUGUCACAGGUGUAGAUUAAAAUGUGAAAGCCAUCACAGGAAGAUAAUACCUAGGUAGCUCUACAACUCUGGGACAUUGUUGGCGAGGAAUGUCUACAGGAGACAACUGGUGAGAUUAUACCUGUGCUUUUGUUGGGUAAUAAAAUUGAUAGUGAAAAGGAACUUGAGGUCCCUAAUGGAAUGGGAGAGCAUCUUACAAAGAUGGAUUCCCAACAGAAAGAUAAUCUGGGGAUCUUUUCUCCCUCCUACCUCCUGAUUGCUAUUUUCAGAUUCUGGCACUGACAUCUGACACCGUCCUGCACUACAUCUUUGUUGAAAAAUUGGAGAAAAAUGGAUUUGAUGAAUGGACUGCUUUCUGGAGAAGGAAUUGGCAGGAUGGUCAUACUCAGAAAGUUGAGGUCAGCAGCUCAAUGUCCAAGGGGAGACGGUGACAAGUGGCAUUCCUCAGGGAUCGGUACUGAGACUGGUGCUAUUUAACGUCUUUGUAGGUGAUAUGGGACUGAGUGCACCCUCAGCAAAUUUGCAUAUUAUGUUAAGCUGAGUGGUGCAGUUGACGCACCAGGGAAGGGAUGUUAUCCAGGGAUGCUACCUGGACAACCUUGAGAGCUGGGCCCAUAUCAACCUCGUGAAGUUCAACAAGGCUUAGUGCAAGGUCCCUACAAGGACAGGCUGAGAGAGUUGGGGCUCUUCUCUCCAGGGAGACCUCAUAGCAGCCUUCCAGUACCUGAAGGGGACCUACAGGAAAGCUGGACAGGGACUUUUUAAAAGUGCAUGUAGCAACAGGAGAAAGGGAAUUGGCUUUAAACUGGAUGAGGGUAGAUCUAGGCUAGAUAUUAGAACGAAAUUCUUUACUGUGAGAGUAGUGAAACACUGGAGCAGAUUGCCCAUUGAAGUUGUGGAUGCUCCAACCAUGGAGGCAUUCAAGGCCAAGCUGGAUGGAGUUUUGAGUAACCUGGUCUAGUGGGAGGUAUCCCUGCCUAUAGCAGGGGGGUUGGAACUUGAUGAUCUUAAAGGUCCCUUCCCCAAACCAUUCAGUGAUACUAUGACUUUCCACCAUUACUUUUCUCAGAUCCACCAAGAAGUUAAUUCUGGCCUAAAUGGAAGUGAAUUUUUUCCUUUUUCUCUUUUCUUUCUUUAGUUUGCCCAUAGCACCCCCAAAUAAAGCUCUUUGGUAAAGAUUAACCAAGGUUAACAUGGUACAGAUGUGCAGCAUGAAACUGGACUCUGCGUCAUGAAGGAUUUUUUUGUGGUUUACACAGAUUUUGGCAUUGUACUGGAACAGAAACAAACCAAAAGGUAGUAGGCAGGGGGAUCCAGAGCACAAGUGUAUACCACCUAUUUCUAUUAUGCCCUGAGAGCACAUGAACCUUUUCAUUUAGAAGUAACUAAAGUGCUGAUACAGAAAUUUUGAACACAAGAAUCUACAAUAUUACAGAACAUUUUAGCUACAGAAUGCUCUUUCAUCACAUGUUAUACUCUUCCUAAUAGUGUUUGGACAGCUGAUGUAAUUUAAGUGACUGUAGCAUCUUCUUUUGGGGAUGUAUACUACUUUGAAAAUUUCUCAUUCUGGUUAAGUGCCAAUGAAUGAGAAAUUCUGUUGGAUUUCUUCUUCUACCCAGACAAAUUAAUCUUUCAAGUUCACAAAUAUAACUCCCUGGCUUAGUAAUGUUUCAUCAGAGGCAAUCUUAUCUACAGUAAGUCUGUUUACAAGCAGUGCUCACCCAUGCGAACCUUUUGAGAGGACAAUCAGUUGGUAGGAGAAAGAAGAAAUUAAUCUUCUCAACCUUGUCAGGUACACUAUAUUAGCUGAUCUUUGCAUAUCACACAUGCUGCAAAGAAAAUUUGCAGAUAUAGUAAAAAAUUCCUAGGUCUUCAGAACAAGCAUAUGUUAUAAGCUGUACGUUGCCAUGGGUUGCAGUGGAAGAGAUAAUGAACUACUGUGUGCCAGUCAAAACUGCUUCAGGCCUACUCAGAUUCAAAUAAAGUAACAGUGGAAAAAACACUGCACAUUAUAGGUUUACUCAGAAUUAUACAGUGCCUUUACUCAUAAUUUAUUUAAGCAGUAAUCUGCAGCUGUUAAAGUGGGUGUACUCCACACAGAAAUAAUCUGUGAGGAAAAGGCCAAGCUGAAGGACGUCUGCUCCUGUAAGAACUACAGCCAGUGAUUAUCUCCACUGAAGCAGGGACUACAAAGGAACAAUACAACUAGAAUCCUUAUCUGCAGGAAAAUUGGAAACAUUGUGCACCAAGUGGCAGAUACCAUAAAAGUUAAGAUGCCUGAAGGCAUUAUGCAUGCUGCCUCAGCCUCUGUGCUGUUUGUUCAUUGGAUGAAGCCUGACAGAGUGCAGCUCACACUGAAAAGAAGGAAAGCUAAAUCUUGGGGGCAGGGGAGAUGACAAAAGCACAACAGUUUGUUUAACUGCUGGUAUUUUUUUUUCCCUCUGUACCAGAAUCAGUGCUAAAAGAUUUGUUUUUGUUGAUAGUAACUCAUGUAAAAUUCCCCCCCUAUAUACACCUCUAUAUAGGCAGAAUUUUUUGCUGUGUCAGAUCAUUAUGAGAUCUCUACUUCAUCAUCUAAUCAAGUGGAAGCCUGUUUCAGAAAGCAGAGGCAUUCCCAUAAAAUGUAUCAGUAGCAACUGUCUGAAUUCAAUAACUGUUGAAGCAGUGGUCGUAAUUCUUGUUAUUUCAGUAAAAAUAACAAUAGCAAACACAUCUUCUCUAGGAAAAAUAAAAACAGAGAAAAAUGGGUACUUUCACCUAUUUACACCUCAAUCAAUUGUUAAUAUGAAACUGAUAAAAAGAUAUUUGAUUUUUGUAUGAUGAAAAUAAACAUCUCAAGAUAAGAAUAUUUCAUAGGUAAAGUUUUAAGGGCAGGAAUAAAAUUCACUGUUGUUAAUUUAAUAUUAAUUUAAUAUAGAUAGACACAGACCAAAUAACUUCAUAUAUUCUACCUAGUGACACUUGUUCCUUCCAAAUAUAAUAAAAGUUAAAGGUCAUCUGAUCAGUCAAAUAAGCUUUGCUUCUUUCCUUUCAAGCACAAGAGGGGAGCUUCAAAGAUGCUUACCUGUACUGAAAACCAGUGUUUAGCUUCUGCAGUUGUCAAUCUCUUCCUGGUACUGACGUGUGGAAUCAAACUCUGUAACCCAGAGUUAGGUUAUAAAGCAGGUAUGUUUUUAUUCAGCAUUUGGCACCAAGUCGGGUACAAGGGGGAUAGUUCCUCUGAAUUUGCACACGGGAGAGUGGGAUCUCAAUACAUUUAUAAGCCAAGCCCACACAUAUUCAGCAGUAUUUCCCAAGACCUAUUGACGUAUUCAUUACUUUUCCGGGAAUUCAUUUACAUACUGUCCCUCCCCCUAGUGCAUGCACAAUAGUUUCCUCUGGUGGUCAUUGGAUGAAGGCUCGAUGUCUUCCUCCCCACCUGGUGGUCGUCAGUAGUUUUCCUCGCCAUGUCCUUCCAACCUUGGUCCCAGUUUUGAGCUCUUCUCCCACCCUGCGUGCUUCUUCAAUCUCUUAUCCUGUUUGUUCCCCUUUCCAUUGUUCUCUCAUUGGCCCCUUUCUGCUGACUUGAGAAGGCUUCCUUUUGAGAAUGUGUUUGGGCUAGCAAAAGUUAAACUAAGAGAUGCUAUUUGUGAAUUCCUUCUGAGUUAGCAAAACCAAGCGUUGUUAUGGACCCCUUACAUCUUGUAUUCUUCAGCUUACUAUCUGAGUGUGAUGUUUUCUUCAAGUUUACAAUAGAGUUUCAAGAUGUUCUUUUCUUAUCUGGCCUCACUUCCUACUUACCUGAAUUUCUAUACAAUAGUUAACCCUCAUCUUGUCCUCUCUUUACUCACAUUCCUAUACAAUUGUUAACCCUUAUCUACUGCACAUCCUGCUCGCUACAUUCUUUUGUCUUGGUUUCCUUUACAGCCAGCCCAUGUUUGCCCUUCAUCCCCUAACUCAGUACCUUUUCUACAAUAUGAACAGAACAAUCAUUAAAUCAUACAAUUAUUUAGGUUGGAAAAGAUCCUCAGGAUUGUUAACAAUCAACAUCACCUACUGAGUCCCAUCACCAACCCUUAGUGCCCUGUUGUGAGAAUCCUUCUUUGUUUUUUUGGCUCAAAGCUUGCUUUCUGAGGUAUUUCUUGUGAUAAGACUCUAGGAGAUGAGAGAUGAGUGUUGCUAUGUGGCAAUCAACAUCACUGUGUGGACAAUUUUACAUUUGAAAGCAUUUCUUUGGAGCUGUUUACCUUCAGAAGAUAAUGCACAGGACUGUUUACUGGCGGAAGAUCUAGUCAGUGACCAAAUAACUCCUGUUUGCUAUGGGAAGCUGGGGGAUGAUGCCACUGUAUUCUGUGAAGGCAAGAUACAAGCUGGCACCUCCCUGUUCCCUCUUAUCUGCUGACAAGGCCAGGAAGAUAGGAACAAAGGAACUUCCACUGAGAUUCCAAAACCAGAAUCUGCCACUCCAAGGAGAGCUGACUCAACCACUUUGGAUUUGAGCUGUCAUUACAAAGAGAGCUGACUCAACCACUUUGGAACCACUGAAAAGGAGCCAUCAUCGCCAUUGUCCUUAACAGAACUACACCCACCACUACUGAAGAUCAAUGACUGAACUAUGAACCAUGCUGGAUCCAUGGUG